rnacentral:tRNA from 1 species
GGAUUUGUGCCUGAAACCUAGGGGCCACUUUGAUAGAGUGAACUACGGGGGUUAAAAUCCCCCCAAAUCCU